GACGAACGCUGGCGGCGUGCUUAACACAUGCAAGUCGAACGGAAAGGCCUCUUUCGGGGGGUACUCGAGUGGCGAACGGGUGAGUAACACGUGAGUAACCUGCCCUUUACUUUGGGAUAACUUCAGGAAACUGGGGCUAAUACCGGAUAGGAGCUCCUGCUGCAUGGUGGGGGUUGGAAAGUUUCGGCGGUUGGGGAUGGACUCGCGGCUUAUCAGCUUGUUGGUGGGGUAGUGGCUUACCAAGGCUUUGACGGGUAGCUGGCCUGAGAGGGUGACCGGCCACAUUGGGACUGAGAUACGGCCCAGACUCCUACGGGAGGCAGCAGGGGGGAAUAUUGCACAAUGGGUGGAAGCCUGAUGCAGCAACGCCGUGUGCGGGAUGACGGCCUUCGGGUUGUAAACCGCUUUCGCUCAUGACGAAGCUUUGUGUGACGGUAGUGGGUAAAGAAGCACCGGCUAACUACGUG
rnacentral:rRNA from 1 species